rnacentral:rRNA from 1 species
AGAGUUUGAUCCUGGCUCAGGACGAACGCUGGCGGCGUGCCUAAUACAUGCAAGUAGAACGCUGAAGAGAGGAGCUUGCUCUUCUUGGAUGAGUUGCGAACGGGUGAGUAACGCGUAGGUAACCUGCCUUGUAGCGGGGGAUAACUAUUGGAAACGAUAGCUAAUACCGCAUAACAAUAGGUGACACAUGUCAUUUAUUUGAAAGGGGCAAUUGCUCCACUACAAGAUGGACCUGCGUUGUAUUAGCUAGUAGGUGAGGUAACGGCUCACCUAGGCGACGAUACAUAGCCGACCUGAGAGGGUGAUCGGCCACACUGGGACUGAGACACGGCCCAGACUCCUACGGGAGGCAGCAGUAGGGAAUCUUCGGCAAUGGGGGCAACCCUGACCGAGCAACGCCGCGUGAGUGAAGAAGGUUUUCGGAUCGUAAAGCUCUGUUGUAAGUCAAGAACGAGUGUGAGAGUGGAAAGUUCACACUGUGACGGUAGCUUACCAGAAAGGGACGGCUAACUACGUGCCAGCAGCCGCGGUAAUACGUAGGUCCCGAGCGUUGUCCGGAUUUAUUGGGCGUAAAGCGAGCGCAGGCGGUUUGAUAAGUCUGAAGUUAAAGGCUGUGGCUCAACCAUAGUUCGCUUUGGAAACUGUCAAACUUGAGUGCAGAAGGGGAGAGUGGAAUUCCAUGUGUAGCGGUGAAAUGCGUAGAUAUAUGGAGGAACACCGGUGGCGAAAGCGGCUCUCUGGUCUGUAACUGACGCUGAGGCUCGAAAGCGUGGGGAGCGAACAGGAUUAGAUACCCUGGUAGUCCACGCCGUAAACGAUGAGUGCUAGGUGUUGGGUCCUUUCCGGGAUUCAGUGCCGCAGCUAACGCAUUAAGCACUCCGCCUGGGGAGUACGACCGCAAGGUUGAAACUCAAAGGAAUUGACGGGGGCCCGCACAAGCGGUGGAGCAUGUGGUUUAAUUCGAAGCAACGCGAAGAACCUUACCAGGUCUUGACAUCCCGAUGCUAUUUCUAGAGAUAGGAAGUUACUUCGGUACAUCGGUGACAGGUGGUGCAUGGUUGUCGUCAGCUCGUGUCGUGAGAUGUUGGGUUAAGUCCCGCAACGAGCGCAACCCCUAUUGUUAGUUGCCAUCAUUCAGUUGGGCACUCUAGCGAGACUGCCGGUAAUAAACCGGAGGAAGGUGGGGAUGACGUCAAAUCAUCAUGCCCCUUAUGACCUGGGCUACACACGUGCUACAAUGGUUGGUACAACGAGUUGCGAGUCGGUGACGGCGAGCUAAUCUCUUAAAGCCAAUCUCAGUUCGGAUUGUAGGCUGCAACUCGCCUACAUGAAGUCGGAAUCGCUAGUAAUCGCGGAUCAGCACGCCGCGGUGAAUACGUUCCCGGGCCUUGUACACACCGCCCGUCACACCACGAGAGUUUGUAACACCCGAAGUCGGUGAGGUAACCUUAUGGAGCCAGCCGCCUAAGGUGGGAUAGAUGAUUGGGGUGAAGUCGUAACAAGGUAGCCGUAUCGGAAGGUGCGGCUG